AAAAAAGUUAAAACUUUCAACAACGGAUCUCUUGGUUCCCACAUCGAUGAAGAACGCAGCGAAAUGCGAUAAGUAAUGUGAAUUGCAGAAUUCAGUGAAUCAUCGAAUCUUUGAACGCACAUUGCGCCCCCUGGUAUUCCGGGGGGCAUGCCUGUUCGAGCGUCAUAAAAACC
rnacentral:rRNA from 1 species